rnacentral:rRNA from 1 species
UGAGGAAUAUUGGUCAAUGGGCGAGAGCCUGAACCAGCCAAGUCGCGUGAGGGAAGACGGUCCUAUGGAUUGUAAACCUCUUUUGUCGGGCGAGACGAAGAAAGGGUAUGUACUACCCUACUGAGAGUACCCCGAAAGAAAAAGCAUCGGCUAACUCCGUGCCAGCAGCCGCGGUAAUACGGAGGAUGCGAGCGUUAUCCGGAUUUAUUGGGUUUAAAGGGUGCGCAGGCGGACUGUUAAGUCAGCGGUAAAAUUGCGGGGCUCAACCCCGUCGAGCCGUUGAAACUGGCGGUCUUGAGUGGGCGAGAAGUAUGCGGAAUGCGUGGUGUAGCGGUGAAAUGCAUAGAUAUCACGCAGAACUCCGAUUGCGAAGGCAGCAUACCGGCGCCCGACUGACGCUCAUGCACGAAAGCGUGGGUAUCGAACAGGAUUAGAUACC